UGAAUCUGGUGAAGGAGAUGCAC
rnacentral:snRNA from 1 species